UACGUAGGCAGCAAGCGUUGUUCGGAAUUACUGGGCGUAAAGAGUGUGUAGGUGGUGUCGUAAGUUUGGUGUGAAAUCUCCCGGCUUAACUGGGAGGGUGCGCCGAAGACUGCGAUGCUGGAGUAUGGGAGAGGAAAGCGGAAUUCCUGGUGUAGCGGUGAAAUGCGUAGAUAUCAGGAGGAACACCGGUGGUGUAAACGGCUUUCUGGACCAUAACUGACGCUGAGGCACGAAAGCGUGGGUAGCAAACAGG
rnacentral:rRNA from 1 species